rnacentral:rRNA from 1 species
AGGGUUCGAUCCUGGCUCAGGACGAACGCUGGCGGCGUGCUUAACACAUGCAAGUCGAACGGGGUGUUUAUUUCGGUAAACACCAAGUGGCGAACGGGUGGGUAACGCGUAAGCAAUCUACCUUCAAGAUGGGGACAACACUUCGAAAGGGGUGCUAAUACCGAAUGAAUGUAAGAGUAUCGCAUGAGACACUUACUAAAGGAGGCCUCUGAAAAUGCUUCCGCUUGAAGAUGAGCUUGCGUCUGAUUAGCUAGUUGGUGAGGGUAAAGGCCCACCAAGGCGACGAUCAGUAGCCGGUCUGAGAGGAUGAACGGCCACAUUGGGACUGAGACACGGCCCAG